rnacentral:misc_RNA from 1 species
CUCUGUCUUUGAUGAGUCCAAAUUUCCCUCCUCCUGAACAAUGGUAUGCAAAGUCCUAUGAACAUCUCUAGCCAUGCCCUUGGCAUCACCACACACAUAAAGAUAUCCCCCCUGAGAAAUUAUGCUCCAAAUUUGUGCUGCUUUGUCCACCAUCUUAUGUUGAACAUACUCCUUCUGUGGCCCUUCCCUUGAGAAUGCAGCAAUCAACUCAGAAAUCACACCUUGUNNNCAUUGAGCUCAUCCUCAUAUAUGAAAUCCAUUCGACGAUUUCUACAUCCAAAGAAGAGCAGAGC